UACGUAGGGUGCAGGCGUUAAUCGGAAUUACUGGGCGUAAAGCGUGCGCAGGCGGUUUGCUAAGACAGGUGUGAAAUCCCCGGGCUUAACCUGGGAACUGCGCUUGUAACUGGCAAGCUAGAGUGUGGCAGAGGGGGGUGGAAUUCCAGGUGUAGCAGUGAAAUGCGUAGAGAUCUGGAGGAACACCGAUGGGCCGAAGGCAGCCCCCUGGGCUAACACUGACGCUCAUGCACGAAAGCGUGGGGAGC
rnacentral:rRNA from 1 species